AUUGGACAAUGGGCGCAAGCCUGAUCCAGCCAUGCCGCGUGAGUGAUGAAGGCCCUAGGGUUGUAAAGCUCUUUCACCGGUGAAGAUAAUGACGGUAACCGGAGAAGAAGCCCCGGCUAACUUCGUGCCA
rnacentral:rRNA from 1 species